rfam:Octopus bimaculoides Scaffold64444_contig_20, whole genome shotgun sequence.
GUACUUCCUUCGGCAGUACAUACACAAAAAUUGGAACGAUACAGAGAUUAGCAUGGUCUCUGCGCAAGGAUGGCACGCAAAUUUGUGAAGCAUUCCUUAUUUUU